rnacentral:rRNA from 1 species
UGGGGAAUUUUGGACAAUGGGCGCAAGCCUGAUCCAGCAAUGCCGCGUGCAGGAUGAAGGCCUUCGGGUUGUAAACUGCUUUUGUACGGAACGAAAAGCCUCUCUCUAAUACAGGGGGGUGAUGACGGUACCGUAAGAAUAAGCACCGGCUAACUACGUGCCAGCAGCCGCGGUAAUACGUAGGGUGCAAGCGUUAAUCGGAAUUACUGGGCGUAAAGCGUGCGCAGGCGGUUUUGUAAGACAGUGGUGAAAUCCCGGGCUCAACCUGGGAACUGCCAUUGUGACUGCAAGGCUGGAGUGCGGCAGAGGGGGAUGGAAUUCCGCGUGUAGCAGUGAAAUGCGUAGAUAUGCGGAGGAACACCGAUGGCGAAGGCAGUCCCCCUGGGCCUGCACUGACGCUCAUGCACGAGAGCGUGGGGAGCAAAACAGGAUUAGAUACCCUGGUAGUCCACGCCCUAAAACGAUGUCAACUGGUUGUUGGGGAUUUAUUUCUUCAGUAACGAAGCUAACGCGUGAAGUUGACCGCCUGGGGGAGUACGG